CCUACGGGGGGCAGCAGUAGGGAAUUUUCGUCAAUGGGCGCAAGCCUGAACGAGCAAUGCCGCGUGAACGAGGAAGGUCUUCGGAUCGUAAAGUUCUGUUGAAGGGGAAAAAGAACGGAGAGAGGAAAUGCUUUCUGAUUGAUAUUACCCUUCGAGGCAGUCACGGCUAACAACGUGCCAGCCGCCGCGGUAAUAAGUAGGUGGCGAGCAUUAUCCGGAUUGAUUGGGGGAAAGGGGUGCGUAGGCGGCCUUCUGAGUCUGGGGUAAAAGGUACAGGCACAACCGGGACACGCUCUGGAAACUGGCGGGCUAGAGGGCAGGAGAGGGCGGUGGAACGCCAGGUGUAGCGGUGAAAUGCGUAGAUAUAAGGAAGAACACCGGUUGCGAAGGCGGCCGCCUGGCCUGUUACUGACGCUGAGGCACGAAAGCGUGGGGAGCAAAUAGGAUUAGAUACCCCAGUAGUC
rnacentral:rRNA from 1 species